UAAUGAAGUUUGGUUUAGUUGUUGCUAAU
rnacentral:piRNA from 1 species